CAUGAUCAAUUUUUCUGGAUUAGGGCGCAUAGGCUGAAGGUUCAACACCAGGCUUGCUCCGCGAUGUGGACCUUACCGCACACAUACGCAUGACUAUAUCACUCAGGUGUUAAAUCAUCUCAGCGUUCUUAAUUGGCUUUGCCGACGGCAACUGUGGCAACUCCAAGCAGAGUAUUUGUCAACGCCCACUGCAAAGGUUAAACAUUGAAGAUGACGGCAUACUUGCAGAUUCAUGGGGUGGAAAAUGGCAUUCCAUUCGAUUUAAACGAAGCUCCUCACCCUCCAAUAGGUAAGACUACAUGGGGCGCUAGCAAUUUGUGAGACUAUACUCCCCUCAACCUAUGUGGCCUUGGAUU